rnacentral:misc_RNA from 1 species
UGGCUCUCGCAUCGAUGAAGAACGCAGCGAAAUGCGAUAAGUAAUGUGAAUUGCAGAAUUCAGUGAAUCAUCGAAUCUUUGAACGCACCUUGCGCCCCUUGGUAUUCCGAGGGGCAUGCCUGUUUGAGUGUCAUCGAAUCAUCAAUGCCGAGGAGGGUUUCCGACUCUCCUCGAGUAUUUGGACAUUGGAGUGUGCGGGGGUGGAGAGCCUCUCAAUCUCUCAACAAUCUGCUCCUCUCGAAAUGCAUCAGCGGAUGUUCUCAUUCCGGUGCGGCGUGAUAACUAUCUGCGUCGCAUUCCGAAUACGCGUACUCUGCUUCAAACAGUCGCCCUCGCGCGACAGACUUUUGACAAUUUGACCUCAAAUCAGGCAGGAUUACCCGCUGA